rnacentral:rRNA from 1 species
UGGGGAAUUUUCCGCAAUGGGCGAAAGCCUGACGGAGCAACGCCGCGUGAGGGAUGAAGGCCUCUGGGCUGUAAACCUCUUUUCUCAAGGAAGAAGAUCUGACGGUACUUGAUGAAUAAGCCACGGCUAAUUCCGUGCCAGCAGCCGCGGUAAUACGGGAGUGGCAAGCGUUAUCCGGAAUUAUUGGGCGUAAAGCGUCCGCAGGCGGUCUGUCAAGUCUGCUGUUAAAGCGUGGAGCUUAACUCCAUUUCGGCAGUGGAAACUGACAGACUAGAGUGUGGUAGGGGCAGAGGGAAUUCCCGGUGUAGCGGUGAAAUGCGUAGAUAUCGGGAAGAACACCAGUGGCGAAGGCGCUCUGCUGGGCCAUAACUGACGCUCAUGGACGAAAGCCAGGGGAGCGAAAGGGAUUAGAUACCCCUGUAGUCCUGGCCGUAAACGAUGAACACUAGGUGUCGGGGGAAUCGACCCCCUCGGUGUCGUAGCCAACGCGUUAAGUGUUCCGCCUGGGGAGUACGCACGCAAGUGUGAAACUCAAAGGAAUUGACGG